UACCAUCAUCUGAUGCAGAUGGAUUCCUGGCCUGCUGAGUGAACUAAUUAAUAGUUGAUAAGUUUUGUCAUGGAUAAAAUAAUUUCUGCCACUGGAGUUCAGCAUCCUUCAUCAGAGUGUCUAGGGGAUACCAUGAUGCUUGCCCUUCUGGUUAAUCAAGAACACUAUAUCCACAAGGAGGGUUAAGAACGAUCAGGAUGGUGGAAAAGGGUAUGUGCAUGUGACUACAGGGACCUAAGAAAGCCACAAGUAGAAGUUCAUUCGUGAUGCAGCUGGAGUUACAGGCUGAUGUGAAGCUCCCAUGAUUGGUACUGGAGCCAAACUAUGUUCCUCUGGAAGACAAUAUGUAUUCUUAACCACUGAGCCACCUGCAGUUCCUGGAAGCUAAACUCCAUACAUGGAAUUUACAGGGCUCCGGGGACUGAGUUUUAUUACACGAUGUCCCAGUAGAGAAGAGGAAGAGGGAAGAAAAUCAAUGAGGUUUGGGUAUUUUUCUUGUGUUCCCCCCUGGUAAUCUCUAUUGGCUAGUUACACAUUUCCACAGUUGACCACACUCUGAAAGUGGUUGACUUGCUACAUGAUUUUCUCUUUAAGGAAUCUUGAAACUGCAUCUCUUCUGCUUCAUACAGAUGGUAGGGAAUCUGCUGGCAAUAGGAUUGAUUAGUAUACCACCCGCUC